GGUCAAGCGAAUAAGUGCAUGUGGUGGAUGCCUUGGCGAUCACAGGCGAUGAAGGACGUUGCAGCGUGCGAAAAGCCACGGGGAGCUCGCAAACAAGCUUUGAUCCGUGGAUGUCCGAAUGGGGAAACCCGGCCCGCAAGGGUCACUCCUGGCUGAAUACAUAGGUCAGGUAGAGCGAACCCGGUGAACUGAAACAUCUAAGUAGCCGGAGGAACAGAAAUCAACCGAGAUUCCGAAAGUAGUGGCGAGCGAAAUCGGAAGAGCCUGCACAAUUUAACCAUUACGCUAGCAGAGCGGUCUGGAAAGGCCGGCCAGAGUGGGUGAUAGCCCCGUAUGCGAAAGCCUGGUGGUGGAACUGAGUGUGCGAGAAGUAGGGCGGGACACGUGAAAUCCUGUCUGAAGAUGGGGGGACCAUCCUCCAAGGCUAAAUACUCGUGAUCGACCGAUAGUGAACCAGUACCGUGAGGGAAAGGCGAAAAGAACCCCGGGAGGGGAGUGAAAUAGAUCCUGAAACCGCAUGCAUACAAACAGUGGGAGCCUCGCAAGGGGUGACUGCGUACCUUUUGUAUAAUGGGUCUAAUGGUCAGCGACUUACAUUCAGUGGCGAGCUUAACCGCAUAGGGGAGGCGUAGCGAAAGCGAGUCCGAACAGGGCGAUUCAGUCGCUGGGUGUAGACCCGAAACCAGAUGAUCUACCCAUGGCCAGGAUGAAGGUUGGGUAACACCAGCUGGAGGUCCGAACCCACUACCGUUGAAAAGGUAGGGGAUGAGCUGUGGGUAGGGGUGAAAGGCCAAACAAAUCUGGAGAUAGCUGGUUCUCUCCGAAAGCUAUUUAGGUAGCGCCUCGUGUAUCACUUCCGGGGGUAGAGCACUGUAAUGGUUGUGGGGGUCAUUGCGACUUACCGCGCCAUAGCAAACUCCGAAUACUGGAAAGUGUGAGCACGGGAGACAGACUUGGGGUGCUAACGUCCUGAGUCGAGAGGGAAACAACCCAGACCGCCGAUUAAGGUCCCGAAGACACAGUUAAGUGGGAAACGAGGUGGGAAGGCUUAGACAGCCAGGAGGUUGGCUUAGAAGCAGCCAUCCUUUAAAGAAAGCGUAAUAGCUCACUGGUCGAGUGGUCCUGCGCGGAAAAUGUAACGGGGCUCAAACGUGCACCGAAAUCGCGGAACCAUGUGCGUUCCACUUUAGGCGUACGCAAGUUGCGCGUGAGCGCGCGGCCGAGGCCCGAAAGUCGAGUCGGGUCCUCCGAAGUCGAUUCGGGGGUGGAGUGAAUUAAAGGGAACGCACAUAUGGUAGGAGAGCGUUCCGUAGGCCGUUGAAGGUGGGGUGUGAACCCUGCUGGAGGUAUCGGAAGUGCGAAUGCUGACAUGAGUAGCGAUAAAGCGGGUGAAAGGCCCGCUCGCCGAAAGCCCAAGGUUUCCUGCGCAACGUUCAUCGGCGCAGGGUGAGUCGGCCCCUAAGGCGAGGCCGAAAGGCGUAGUCGAUGGGAAACAGGUUAAUAGUCCUGUACCUUUAUGCAAUGCGAUGGGGGGACGGAGAAGGUUAGGUGGGCCGGGUGUUGGAUGUCCCGGUUCAAGCGUGUAGGCGUGCCCGGUAGGCAAAUCCGCUGGGCUUAGCCGAGGCGUGAUGACGCAAGGCUCUUCGGAGUCCCAAGCCACUGAGACCCCGCUUCCAGGAAAAGCCUCUAAGCUUCAGUUGCAUGAAGACCGUACCGCAAACCGACACAGGUGGGCAGGAUGAAGAUUCUAAGGCGCUUGAGAGAACUCAGGAGAAGGAACUCGGCAAAUUAGCACCGUAACUUCGGGAGAAGGUGCGCCCUUGUAGCGUGAAGGCCCUUGCGGCUGGAGCGUGACGGGGUUGCAGUGAAAUGGUGGCUGCGACUGUUUAAUAAAAACACAGCACUCUGCAAAGGCGAAAGCCGACGUAUAGGGUGUGACGCCUGCCCGGUGCCGGAAGGUUAAGUGAUGGGGUGCAAGCUCUUGAUCGAAGCCCCGGUAAACGGCGGCCGUAACUAUAACGGUCCUAAGGUAGCGAAAUUCCUUGUCGGGUAAGUUCCGACCUGCACGAAUGGCGUAACGAUGGCCACACUGUCUCCUCCUGAGACUCAGCGAAGUUGAAGUGUUUGUGAAGAUGCAAUCUCCCCGCUGCUAGACGGAAAGACCCCAUGCACCUUUACUGUAGCUUUGCAUUGGACUUUGAUGAGACUUGUGUAGGAUAGGUGGGAGGCUUUGAAACCGGGAUGCUAGUUCCGGUGGAGCCGUCCUUGAAAUACCACCCUGGUGUCAUUGAGGUUCUAACCUGGAUCCAUUAUCUGGAUCGGGGACCGUGCAUGGCAGGCAGUUUGACUGGGGCGGUCUCCUCCCAAAGGGUAACGGAGGAGUUCGAAGGUUCGCUAGGUACGGUCGGACAUCGUACUGAUAGUGCAUUGGCAAAAGCGAGCUUGACUGCGAGACGGACAUGUCGAGCAGGUGCGAAAGCAGGACAAAGUGAUCCGGUGGUUCUGUAUGGAAGGGCCAUCGCUCAACGGAUAAAAGGUACGCUGGGGAUAACAGGCUGAUGACUCCCAAGAGUUCAUAUCGACGGAGUCGUUUGGCACCUCGAUGUCGGCUCAUCUCAUCCUGGGGCUGUAGCCGGUCCCAAGGGUAUGGCUGUUCGCCAUUUAAAGAGGUACGUGAGCUGGGUUUAAAACGUCGUGAGACAGUUUGGUCCCCUAUCUGCAGUGGGCGUUGGAGAUUUGACGGGGGCUGCUCCUAGUACGAGAGGACCGGGUGGACGCACCUCUGGUGUACCGGUUGUGACGCCAGUCGUAUCGCCGGGUAGCUAUGUGCGGAAGAGAUAACCGCUGAAAGCAUCUAAGCGGGAAACUUGCCUGAAGAUGAGAUCUCCCGGAGGCUUGACCUCCCUGAAGGGUCGUGGAAGACCACCACGUUGAUAGGCCGGGUGUGGAAGCGCAGUAAUGCGUUAAGCUAACCGGUACUAAUUGCCCGUGCGGCUUGAUCCU
rnacentral:rRNA from 1 species